rnacentral:rRNA from 1 species
AAUGAACGUUGGCGGCGUGGAUUAGGCAUGCAAGUCGAGCGAGAACCCCGCAAGGGGGGACAGCGGCGAAAGGGACAGUAAUGUGUAGAUUAUCUGCCCUCAGGUCCGGGAUAGCUGCGGGAAACUGCAGGUAAUACCGGAUAACAUCUCCGGAUCAAAGGUGUGAUUCCGCCUGAGGAUGAGUCUGCAUCCUAUUAGCUAGUUGGUGGGGUAAUGGCCUACCAAGGCAUUGAUGGGUAGCAGGUGUGAGAGCACGACCUGCGUCAUUGGGACUGAGACACUGCCCAGACACCUACGGGUGGCUGCAGUCGAGAAUCUUCGGCAAUGGGGGCAAGCCUCACCGAGCAGCGCCGAGUGUGGGAUGAAGGCCUGCGGGUUGUAAACCACUGUCAGAGGGGAUGAAAUGCAGGUGGGUUCUCCCAUAUGUUUGACAUAGCCUCAGAGGAAGGACGGGCUAAGUUCGUG